UACGGAAGUGGAUAGCGUUGUUCGGAAUUACUUGGCGUAAAGAGCGCGUAGGCGGCUUACCAAGUUGGGGGUGAAAUCCCGGAGCUCAACUCCGGAACUGCCUUCAAAACUGGUAGGCUCGAGUCCGGAAGAGGGGCGUGGAAUUCCACGUGUAGAGGUGAAAUUCGUAGAUAUUGGGAAGAACACCGGUGGCGAAGGCGGCGCCCUGGUCCGGUACUGACGCUGAGGCGAGAAAGCGUGGGGAGCAAACAGG
rnacentral:rRNA from 1 species